UCAAGCUAAUAAGAGCGCAAGGGGAAUGCCUUGGCAUCAGGAGCCGAUGAAGGACGUGACAAGCUGCGAAAAGCUUCGGGGAGCUGCAAAUAAGCAUUGAUCCGGAGAUAUCCGAAUGGGGAAACCCGGUACGGCAAUACCGUAUCAACGUGCUGUGAAUCAAAUAGCAGUACGUAGGGAACCGCCUGAACUGAAACAUCUAAGUAGGGCGAGGAAAAGACAUCAACCGAGAUUCCGCUAGUAGUGGCGAGCGAACGCGGAAGAGGCCAAACCGAAGGUAGCAAUAUCUUCGGGGUUAGGACUGCAAUAUGUAACUUUAAUCUUUAACUGAAUGCUUUGGGAAGAGCAGCGAUACAGGGUGAUAGCCCCGUAAGUGAAAAGGAUUGAGUGCUAGCAGUAUCCAGAGUACCAGCGGACACGUGAAACCCGCUGGGAAGAUGGGGGGACCAUCCUCCAAGCCUAAAUACUACUCAGUGACCGAUAGUGGAGCAGUACCGUGAGGGAAAGGUGAAAAGUACCCCGGGAGGGGAGUGAAAGAGAACCUGAAACCUUGUGCCUACAAGCACCGAGAGCACGUUAAAGUGUGAUCGGGUACUUUUUGUAGAACGGUCCGGCGAGUUAAUAUUUGCAGCGAGGUUAAGUAACUGGAGUUACGGAGCCGCAGCGAGAGCGAGUCUGAAUAGGGCGUAUGAAGUUGCAGGUAUUAGACCCGAAACCGGGUGACCUAUCCAUGAGCAGGCUGAAGCGGUGGUAAGACACCGUGGAGGGCCGCACCCACGUCUGUUGAAAAAGCCGGGGAUGACUUGUGGAUAGCGGAGAAAUUCCAAUCGAACUCGGAGAUAGCUGGUUCUCCCCGAAAUAGCUUUAGGGCUAGCGUUAUUUUAGAUUACCGGAGGUAAAGCACUGAAUGGUCUAGGGGCCGCGAGGUUACCAAAGCCUAUCAAACUCUGAAUGCCGGAUAAUUGAUGAAUAGCAGUCAGACUGUGUGAGAUAAGUCUCAUAGUCAAAAGGGAAACAGCCCAGAUCUACAGCUAAGGUCCCAAAUGAACACUAAGUGGAAAAUGAUGUGAAACUGCGAAGACAACCAGGAUGUUGGCUUAGAAGCAGCCACUCAUUCAAAGAGUGCGUAAUAGCUCACUGGUCGAGUGGUUUUGCGCAGAAAAUGUAACGGGGCUAAGUGUUCAACCGAAGCUUAGGCAUUGCAGUAAUGCAUUGGGUAGGGGAGCGUCGUAUGCGGGGCGAAGUCAGAGCGGAAGCACUGGUGGACUGCAUACGAGUGAGAAUGCCGGAAUAAGUAGCGAGAAUUAUGUGAGAAUCAUAAUGGCCGAAAAUCUAAGGUUUCCUGGGGAAGGUUCGUCCGCCCAGGGUUAGUCGGGAGCUAAGCUCAGGCCGAAAGGCGUAGGCGAUGCACAUACGGUAGAAAUUCCGUAACCACCGAACUUUAAGCUAGAGGGACGCUUUCUUUAAGGUUAUCCCGGGCGAUGGUUGCCCCGGGCGUAAGGGACCGAAAUAUAGUAGGGAAGUAACUGGCGAGAGAGACGAGAAAAGCUCUAGUGUAUACUAAGGUGCCCGUACCGCAAACCGACACAGGUAGAAGGGAUGAGUAUUCUAAGGCCAACGGGAGAAGGGUUGUUAAGGAACUCGGCAAAUUGGCCCCGUAACUUCGGGAUAAGGGGCGCCUGCGAGAGCAGGCCGCAGUGAAAAGGCCCAAGCGACUGUUUAGCAAAAACACAGCUCUCUGCUAAAUCGAAAGAUGACGUAUAGGGGGUGACGCCUGCCCGGUGCUGGAAGGUUAAGGGGAGUGCUUAGCGCAAGCGAAGGUGCGAACUUAAGCCCCAGUAAACGGCGGCCGUAACUAUAACGGUCCUAAGGUAGCGAAAUUCCUUGUCAGGUAAGUUCUGACCCGC
rnacentral:rRNA from 1 species